AGCAUGAUUUUUAGGUGCGUGCCAAAGUUAGAGACGACUCGAGUAAGUUUCAGAGUCGGCUCCUGAGGGAGAGUCGACUCGCGCAUUUGCGGGAGUCGACUCGCAAAGAUGGCAGCAGAGGGGGAGUCGACUCACAUAUAGUCGGGAGUCGACUCGAGGUCUACAGGCGCAUAAGGAGAGUCGACUCGCGCAUAUUCUGGAGUCGACUCGAGGUCGAGUCGACUCG
rnacentral:lncRNA from 1 species